UAUUACACUAAUUAUAAUACUAAUAUAAUACUAAUUUUGUUACAUAUAACAAAAAUUAGAUUAUGUUUAAGAAAAAGAUGCAAAAUAACAAGAAGGUGGUGGGUAAAACCACAUAUUUCAAGAAAUAUGAGACAAACUCAUGGUGCUCAUCGAACAUUAUUUACAUAUUUUCGGACGAAUGAUCAUGAGGAGUUUUUUAAACUUACAAGGAUGUCAGUGCAACAAUUCGAUCACUUACAUGAUCUCUUAAAAUUUAAAUUAAAAAAAAAGUCGUAGAGAACCUUUGCCAACAGAGAUACGUAUUGCAGUGACUUUGAGGUGCUCUGUACUUGUUGCCCUGGACCGGGCCGUCCAGAAAUUUUAUGUAUGCGUACAUUCUGAAAUAGGUUAAAAAAAAUGUCAAACCUUUCGCCAAAUGUUUUAAUAAAUCAUCACAAGUGCACUAUGUCAAUAA